UUGGCGCCUCCGUGAUGGUACUGUGCGGAAGGUUAGCAUUUCCCAGGAGCCAUGUCGGUCUCUUGACAGCGGCGGCUGUGCUGCCUCUCUUGUCGCUUUUGCAGGUCCUUUGAGCUCAGUCCCGGGUUGUUUUUACGGUUUUCUCUGACCCGAUGUCUUGUUGAUGGUUUAGAGAAUAAACUUGGAUAGUUCUUCUUUAGAUGCG
rnacentral:lncRNA from 1 species